rnacentral:lncRNA from 1 species
GAUAGAGCCUUUUUUGGAGAGAGGGUGUGGGCAGACAUGGUUUUCUUCAGUGUCGAAAUUGGUAUGGAGACGUGGAUGGAGAUUUGAGUCUUAGGAAUUUGGGAAGAGCUCAAGUGAUUCAGAAUGAAAAGACCUUGGCACAGACCUGUUAAGGAAGCUCCAUAUAAGGUGAAGAAAACAACAUGCUCAGCCAUGUCCUUGCCUUCUGCACACGGUAGUGCAUUCACUGCCUGAGAAUUCAAGGCUAAAACAAAAAGAGGAGCUUUUGUUCCAACAGAUAAGUACUUACCUUUUUCAAAAAAUGCAUAAGCUGUCCUGGGUGUUUAGCAGUUAUUCGCACAGCUUUCCAAAGACUCACAGCAUUUAAAAGCUAACUCUACAGAGAUUCAACAGCUUCUUCCAGAUCCCACCACAGUGGAAAAGAACUCCGGUGUCCUGGCUCCCUGUCCAGCUCUUCUCUCUCCCCUUCCAGCUGCCAGUUCAGCUUUAAGAAGUUCAUUCUCCACAUUCAGAUGCAGGCAAAUGCGUUUGACUUGAGCAUAUUGAUUUCAGGCAGGUGAGAGUGGAUGUAGCGAUUCAGC